rnacentral:lncRNA from 1 species
AUCUUAAGGUGAAAGCUGCAGGUUUCAGUGGAAGUUGAAGCUGCAACCAACUCACAUCCAACCCAGGAGCAUCAUGGACCACAGCCUGGAGCACAGGUGCGUGAAUGAAAACACAGGAUUACAGGAGUUGUGAUGUUUUCUGACCCUGAUGCCAGGAGUCACUAGGAGCAGGAGGACUUGGAACUCUCCCACCUUGAAUUUCUGGCCCUCACUUCCUGUGCUGAAUAGUUUUAUAUCAACUUGACACAUCUGAGGAAGGAACCUCAAUUGAAAAAGUGCCUCUGUAAAAUUGGGCUGCAGACAAGCCUGAAGAGCAUUUCCUUAAUUAGUUAUUGAUGGAGGAGGGUCAAGGCCCUGGGUUCUAUAAGAAAGCAGGCUGAAUUUUUAACAAAUGGUGCUGACUUAACUGGCAGUUAUCAUGUAGAAGAAUGAGAAUUGAUCCAUCCUUAUCUCCUUGUACAAAGCUCAAGUCUAAGUGGAACAAGGAACUCACAUAAAACCAGAGACGCUAAAACUUAUAGAGGAGAAAGUAGGGAAAAGCUUCAAAGAUAUGGGCAUGGGGGAAAAUUCCUGAACAGAACAGCAAUGGCUUGGGCUUUAAGAUCGAGAAUCGACAAAUGGGACCUCAUAAAAUUGCAAAGUUUCUGUAAGGCAAAAAACACUGUCAAUAGACAAAAAGGCCACCAACAGAGUGGGAAAGGAUCUUUACCAAUCCUAAAUCCGAUAGGGGACUAGUAUCCAAUAUAUACAAGGAACUCAAGAAGGUGGACUCCAGAAAAUCAAAUAACCCCAUUAAAAAUGGGGUACAGAGCUAAACAAAGAAUUCUCACCUGAGGAAUACCGAAUGGCUGAGAAACACCUGAAAAAAUGCUCAGCAUCCUUAAUCACCAGGGAAAUGCAAAUCAAAACAACCCUGAGAUUCCAUCUCACACCAGUCAGAAUGGCUCAGAUCAAAAAUUCAAGUGACAGCAGAUGCUGGUGAGGAUGUGGAGAAAGAGGCACAUUCUUCCAUUGCUAGUGGGAUUGCAAGCUUGUACAACCACUCUGGAAAUCAAUCUGGCGGCUCCUCAGAAAAUUGGACAUAGUACUACCGGAGGAUCCAGCAAUACCUCUCCUGGGCAUAUAUCCAGAAGAUGUUCCAACUGGCAAUAAAAACACAUGCUCCACUAUGUUCAUAACAGCCUUAUUUAUAAUAGCCAGAAACUGGAAAAAACCCAGAUGUCCCUCAACAGAGGAAUGGAUACAGAAAAUGUGGUACAUUUACACAAUGGAGUACUACUCAGCUAUUAAAAACAAUGAAUUUAUGAAAUUCCUAGGCAAAUGGAUGGAUCUGGAGGAUAUCAUCCUGAGUGAGGUAAACCCAAUCACAAAAGAACUCACAUGAUAUGCACUCACUGAUAAGUGGAUACUAGCCCAGAAACUCAGAAUACCCAAGAUGCAAUUUGCAAAACACAUGAAACUCAAGAAGAAGGAAGACCAAAGUGUGGAUACUUCAAUCCUUCUUAGAAGGGGGAACAAAAUACCCAUGGAAGAAUUUACAGAGACAAAGUUCAGAGCUGAGACUGAAGGAAGGACCAUCCAGAGACUGCCCCACCCAGGGACCCAUCCCAUAACCAACUAACAAAUCCAGACACUAUUGCAGAUGCCAACAAGAUUUUGCUGACAGGACCCUGAUAUAGCUAUCUCCUGUGAGGUUAUGCAAGUGCCUGGCAAAUACAGAAGUGGAUGCUCACAGUCAUCUAUUGGAUGGAUCAUAGGGUCCCCAAUGAAGGAGCUAGGAAAAAGUACCCAAGGAGCAGAAGGGGUCUUCAGCCCUAUAGGAGGAACAACAAUAUAAACUAACCAGUACCACCUGAGCUUGUGUCUCUAGCUGCAUAUGUAACAGAAGAUGGCCUAGCCAAUCAUCAUUGGGAGGAGAGGCCCUUGGUCUUGCAAAGAUCAUAUGCAAGGGGAAUGCCAGGGCCAGGAACUGGGAGUGGAUGGAUCGGGGAGUGGGGGGUGGGGGAGGGUAUAGGGAACUUUCAGAUAGCAUUUGAAAUGUAAAUGAGGAAAAUAUCUAAUAAAAAUUGUUUAAAAGAAAUAAAGAAAUCAGGCUGAGCAAGCUAUGAGGAGCAAACCAGUAAGCAGCACCCCUCCAUGACCUCUGCAUCUGCUUCUGCUUCCAUGUUCCUGGAUUGAUUGAGUUCCUGUCCUGACUUCCUUCAAUGGUGAACAGUGAUAUGGAAGUGUAAGACAAAUAAACCCUUGCUCCCCAACAUGCUUUUGGUCAUGGUUUUUCAUCACAGCAAUAGUAAUCCUAACUAAGAUACUCCCAAUUCCUUUGUCUCCCCUGUCCUCAAUGGUACUACUAGGACACUAAAUGAGAUGCUGGCUGAUCAGUGAGGAUACAGUUCUUUUAUAUCUCUCUCCAUUAUGAAUUACCUUAAAAGUUAAAAGUUACAGAAUAGGAGCCUGCAAUAUAUCUCAGCAAGUAAGGAUGCUUGCUGCCUGAUGGUACAAACCUAAUGACAUAGAUUUGAUCCCCAGAAUUCAGAUAAAGAUACAAGAAGAACCGAUUCUACAGAGUUAUUCGCUGAUCUACACAUUGGCAUCUCUCUCUAAUUCACUUGGAUAUACACACAUACAAGCACAAAUGCAUACAAACACACACAUAGACACAUUAAUAAUAAUAAUUAAUAAUAACAAUAGUAAAUAAAAUGUUUUUUAAUUCCAUAGCAUAUGUUAAACUGGUAGCAGUAGUUACAGUGGGGAGGAGGGAGAGGUGAUUAGAAGUUAGUUAGUAUAUUAAUUUUUGAUACAUAUAUGUUUUAAGUAUUGGGAUUUUGGGUAGAACUUUCUUUAUGUCCUUUUUCAGUACUCAAAUGCUUUAGCUUAAACCAUGCCUUUUGGAAAUUAAACAAAUAAAUAAUAAAGAUUUAUCAUUUCAAUU